UGGGGAAUUUUGGACAAUGGGCGAAAGCCUGAUCCAGCAAUGCCGCGUGUGUGAAGAAGGCCUUCGGGUUGUAAAGCACUUUUGUCCGGAAAGAAAUCCUUGGCUCUAAUACAGUCGGGGGAUGACGGUACCGGAAGAAUAAGCACCGGCUAACUACGUGCCAGCAGCCGCGGUAAUACGUAGGGUGCAAGCGUUAAUCGGAAUUACUGGGCGUAAAGCGUGCGCAGGCGGUUUGCUAAGACCGAUGUGAAAUCCCCGGGCUCAACCUGGGAACUGCAUUGGUGACUGGCAGGCUAGAGUAUGGCAGAGGGGGGUAGAAUUCCACGUGUAGCAGUGAAAUGCGUAGAGAUGUGGAGGAAUACCGAUGGCGAAGGCAGCCCCCUGGGCCAAUACUGACGCUCAUGCACGAAAGCGUGGGGAGCAAACAGGAUUAGAUACCCUGGUAGUCCACGCCCUAAACGAUGUCAACUAGUUGUUGGGGAUUCAUUUCCUUAGUAACGUAGCUAACGCGUGAAGUUGGCCGCCUGGGGAGUACGGUCGCAAGAUUAAAACUCAAAUGAAUUGACGGGGUCAUAGCUGUUUCCU
rnacentral:rRNA from 1 species